GUGCGCACUUCCCCAGCACAGAUACUAAAAUUGGAGCAAAAUAGAGAAGAUGGACACAGCCGUGGCACAAGGAUGACACGUAAAUUUGUGAAGCAUUCCAUAUCUUA
ensembl:snRNA U6 U6 spliceosomal RNA